UACGUAGGGCGCAAGCGUUGUCCGGAAUUAUUGGGCGUAAAGAGCUCGUAGGCGGCCUGCUAAGUCGGACGUGAAAUCCCUCGGCUUAACCGGGGAACUGCGUCUGAUACUGGAUGGCUUGAGUUCGGGAGAGGGAUGCGGAAUUCCAGGUGUAGCGGUGAAAUGCGUAGAUAUCUGGAGGAACACCGGUGGCGAAGGCGGCAUCCUGGACCGACACUGACACUGAGGAGCGAAAGCCAGGGAGCAAACGGG
rnacentral:rRNA from 1 species